UAUAGUGGAGCGUGGUAUGGCACCGUUAUUAAUGACGCGGAUAAGUGAGGAAUUAUCAACUCACUGUAGUCUGUCAGAGUCGCCGUGAAAGUGUCCCAUCGCCGUGGGGCUGUCAUAUCACUAGGGUUGACAAUGCCCUAGGCGGGAUAAUGCCCUUAGGUGGCAGAGCCGCAUGUCGCUGUCAGGAUUGACAAGCUCUGGCGGCUGUACGGC
rnacentral:lncRNA from 1 species